rnacentral:tRNA from 1 species
GCAGUGGCUCAGAGAUAGAGCAUCAGCUUGCUAUGUAGAAGGUCUCAGGUUCAAAUCCUUGGCAUCUCUA